CCCUUAGAUGUUCUGGGCCGCACGCGCGCUACACUGAUGCAUUCAACGAGUCUAAAACCUGCUCUGAUAGGGGUGGGUAAUCUUUUGAAUGUGCAUCGUGAUUGGGAUAGAUGAUUGAAAUUUUUCAUCUUCAACGAGGAAUGCCUAGUAAACGCAAGUCAUCAGCUUGCAUUGAUUACGUCCCUGCCCUUUGUACACACCGCCCGUCGCUCCUACCGAUUUCGAGUGAUUCGGUGAACCUUUUGGACAGCGUCUGUCCUCGUGUCAGAUGCUGAAAGUCAAGUAAACCAUAUCACUUAGAGGAAGGAGAAGUCGUAACA
rnacentral:rRNA from 1 species